GACGAACGCUGGCGGCGUGCUUAACACAUGCAAGUCGAACGGAAAGGCCCUGCUUUUGUGGGGUGCUCGAGUGGCGAACGGGUGAGUAACACGUGAGUAACCUGCCCUUGACUUUGGGAUAACUUCAGGAAACUGGGGCUAAUACCGGAUAGGAGCUCCUGCUGCAUGGUGGGGGUUGGAAAGUUUCGGCGGUUGGGGAUGGACUCGCGGCUUAUCAGCUUGUUGGUGGGGUAGUGGCUUACCAAGGCUUUGACGGGUAGCCGGCCUGAGAGGGGGACCGGCCACAUUGGGACUGAGGUACGGCGCAGACUGCUACGGGAGGCAGCAGUGGGGAAUAUUGCACAAUGGGCGGAAGCCUGAUGCAGCAACGCCGCGUGCGGGAUGACGGCCUUCGGGUUGUAAACCGCUUUCGCCUGUGACGAAGCGUGAGUGACGGUAAUGGGUAAAGAAGCACCGGCUAACUACGUG
rnacentral:rRNA from 1 species